rnacentral:rRNA from 1 species
AAUCAACGCUGGCGGCGCGCUUAACACAUGCAAGUCGAACGAGAAAGCCGGGGCAACCUGGUGAGUACAGUGGCGUACGGGUGAGUAACACGUGGAUGAUCUACCCUUUAGUUCGGAAUAACGCUGGGAAACCGGCGCUAAUACCGGAUAAGCUCGAGAGAGGAAAGAAGUAAUUCGCUGAAGGAGGAGUCCGCGGCCGAUUAGCUAGUUGGCAGGGUAAAAGCCUACCAAGGCAAAGAUCGGUAGCCGGCCUGAGAGGGCACACGGCCACACUGGC